AUAGAACUUGUGGAUUUUGUGAAAAGGAAAAAAAACCCUCGUGGUAGCAUUUUAAAAAGAAGAGAGUUUUCGUGUGGGAAACAGUUUUCAAAAGGUUUUUCGUAGUUUUCAUAAUUUAGUAUUUCAAAACCAGUUUCUGAGUGGGAAACGUUUUAACUAAUAGUUGUGAUUUUAUGUUUAAAUCAUGAAUGUGAACCUGUGUUGAAUGGUGUAUGGAUAUAUAUAGAUAUUGGAUGUCUGUAUGUUCAGUGUGGUUGUUGUAUCAUGGUUAUACUCUUGUACUUGU
rnacentral:lncRNA from 1 species